GGAACAGUAUGUCAUAUAUGCAUGAACUUGAUUGAUGUAUUGAUGUAUAAUGAACUGAAGAUAGAAUGAAUUCAAUCAGGUUAAAAAAAAUGUAUGUGCAAAAGCGACUCGAAGACGAUUUAGAUUUGUCUCCUGAAUAUAAAACUUCCAAGAAGUACAACAUAUAUGAAUAUCCUGUAUCCUCGCAUUUGAACUGGCGAUAGAAUGAAAUCAGUCAGUGUUAAAAAUGUAUGUGUAAAAGCGACUUUAAGAUGAUGGAUAUUGGUACACUGAACAUAAAACUUCCAAAAUUUGGGGCAGUAUGUCAUAUGUGCAUAAUCUGUAUCCUGGCAUUUGAUGCAAUGAACUGGCAAUAGAAUGAAAUAAUGAAAAAUAGGCAGGCUGUUUGAUGUAUAAGGAAGUGGCGAUAGAAUACUUAUGCAACACUUCACACUUCACGCCCCAAAAAUAGAAUUACGUUCAUUAGAUAUACAACAAUUUUCAUUAAAUAUACUGUUAUUAAUAUGUUAAGAUUGAAUAAUUUGUAAAUAGUUUUCUAGUAUAGUUCAUGUUAAAAUUUUAUAAUUUCUAAACUACAAUUCUAAUUUGUAAUAUUUAAAUAUUGUAAAAUUUCUUAUUAUUCACGUAAAUAAAUGCUUAUUCGUACAGAAAAGAAUAUUAAU